rnacentral:rRNA from 1 species
GACGAACGCUGGCGGCGUGCCUAAUACAUGCAAGUAGAACGCUGAAGGAGGAGCUUGCUUCUCUGGAUGAGUUGCGAACGGGUGAGUAACGCGUAGGUAACCUGCCUGGUAGCGGGGGAUAACUAUUGGAAACGAUAGCUAAUACCGCAUAAGAGUGGAUGUUGCAUGACAUUUGCUUAAAAGGUGCACUUGCAUCACUACCAGAUGGACCUGCGUUGUAUUAGCUAGUUGGUGGGGUAACGGCUCACCAAGGCGACGAUACAUAGCCGACCUGAGAGGGUGAUCGGCCACACUGGGACUGAGACACGGCCCAGACUCCUACGGGAGGCAGCAGUAGGGAAUCUUCGGCAAUGGACGGAAGUCUGACCGAGCAACGCCGCGUGAGUGAAGAAGGUUUUCGGAUCGUAAAGCUCUGUUGUAAGAGAAGAACGAGUGUGAGAGUGGAAAGUUCACACUGUGACGUAUCUACCAGAAAGGC